AUUGAACGCUGGCGGCAGGCCUAACACAUGCAAGUCGAACGAGUGGCGGACGGGUGAGUAAUGUCUGGGAAACUGCCUGAUGGAGGGGGAUAACUACUGGAAACGGUAGCUAAUACCGCAUACCCUCAGAUGUGCCCAUAUGGGAUUAGCGUGUUGGUGGGGUAACGGCUCACCAAGGCGACGAUCCCUAGCUGGUCUGAGAGGAUGACAGGCAAGACUGGAACUGGAACACGGGCCAGACUCCUACGGAAGGCGGAAGUGGGGAAUAUUGCACAAGGGGCGCAAGCCUGAUGCAGCCAUGCCGCGUGUAUGAAGAAGGCCUUCGGGUUGUAAAGUACUUUCAGCGGGGAGGCGUUACCCGCAGAAGAAGCACCGGCUAACUCCGUGCCAGCAGCCGCGGUAAUUC
rnacentral:rRNA from 1 species